rnacentral:rRNA from 1 species
CCUACGGGUGGCAGCAGUGGGGAAUAUUGGACAAUGGGCGAAAGCCUGAUCCAGCCAUGCCGCAUGUGUGAAGAAGGCCUUCGGGUUGUAAAGCACUUUCAGUGGGGAAGAAAGCCUUGGGGCUAAUACCCUCGAGGAAGGACAUCACCCACAGAAGAAGCACCGGCUAACUCCGUGCCAGCAGCCGCGGUAAUACGGAGGGUGCGAGCGUUAAUCGGAAUUACUGGGCGUAAAGCGCGCGUAGGCGGUCUGAUAAGCCGGUUGUGAAAGCCCCGGGCUCAACCUGGGAACGGCAUCCGGAACUGGCAGGCUAGAGUGCAGGAGAGGAAGGUAGAAUUCCCGGUGUAGCGGUGAAAUGCGUAGAGAUCGGGAGGAAUACCAGUGGCGAAGGCGGCCUUCUGGACUGACACUGACGCUGAGGUGCGAAAGCGUGGGUAGCAAACAGGAUUAGAUACCCGUGUAGUC